UCCAGACUCCUACGGGAGGCAGCAGUGGGGGAUAUUGCACAAUGGGGGGAACCCUGAUGCAGCGACGCCGCGUGGGUGAAGGAGCGUUUCGGCGCGUAAAGCCCUAUCGGCAGGGAAGAAGGAGGACGGUACCUGACUAAGAAGCCCCGGCUAACUACGUGCCAGCAGCCGCGGUAAUACGUAGGGGGCAAGCGUUAUCCGGAUUUACUGGGUGUAAAGGGGGCGCAGACGGCAGCGCAAGCCAGGAGUGAAAGCCCGGGGCCCAACCCCGGGACUGCUCUUGGAACUGCGCGGCUGGAGUGCAGGAGGGGCAGGCGGAAUUCCUGGUGUAGCGGUGAAAUGCGUAGAUAUCAGGAGGAACACCGGUGGCGAAGGCGGCCUGCUGGACUGCGACUGACGUUGAGGCCCGAAAGCGUGGGGAGCAAACAGGAUUAGAUACCCCCGUAGAA
rnacentral:rRNA from 1 species